GACGAACGCUGGCGGCGUGCCUAAUACAUGCAAGUCGAACGAGUGGCGGACGGGUGAGUAACACGUGGGAACCUACCCAUAAGAGGGGGAUAACUACUGGAAACGGUAGCUAAUACCGCAUACCAUCAGAUGAACCCAUAUGGGAUUAGCUGGUAGGUAAGGUAACGGCUUACCUAGCCGACGAUCCCUAGCUGGUCUGAGAGUAUGAUCAGCCACACUGGGACUGAGACACGGCCCAGACUCCUACGGGAGGAAGCAGUGGGGAAUAUUGCACAAUUGGGGCAAGCCUGAUGCAGCCAUGCCGCGUGAAUGAAGAAGGCCUUCGGGUUGUAAAGUACUUUCGGUCGGGAGGCGUUACCGACAGAAGAAGCACCGGCUAACUCCGUGCCAGCAGCCGCGGUAAUUC
rnacentral:rRNA from 1 species